UGGGGAAUCUUGCGCAAUGGGCGAAAGCCUGACGCAGCCAUGCCGCGUGUAUGAUGAAGGUCUUAGGAUUGUAAAAUACUUUCACCGGUGAAGAUAAUGACUGUAGCCGGAGAAGAAGCCCCGGCUAACUUCGUGCCAGCAGCCGCGGUAAUACGAAGGGGGCUAGCGUUGCUCGGAAUUACUGGGCGUAAAGGGAGCGUAGGCGGACAUUUAAGUCAGAGGUGAAAUCCCGGAGCUUAACUUCGGAACUGCCUUUGAUACUGGGUGUCUUGAGUGUGAGAGAGGUAGGUGGAACUCCGAGUGUAGAGGUGAAAUUCGUAGAUAUUCGGAAGAACACCAGUGGCGAAGGCGACAUACUGGCUCAUUACUGACGCUGAGGCUCGAAAGCGUGGGGAGCAAACAGGAUUAGAUACCCCUGUAGUCCCUGAGCGGGCUGGCAAGGCGCAU
rnacentral:rRNA from 1 species